rnacentral:rRNA from 1 species
AGAUUGAACGCUGGCGGCAUGCCUUACACAUGCAAGUCGAACGGCAGCACGGGAGCAAUCCUGGUGGCGAGUGGCGAACGGGUGAGUAAUAUAUCGGAACGUGCCCAGUCGUGGGGGAUAACGCAGCGAAAGCUGUGCUAAUACCGCAUACGAUCUAUGGAUGAAAGCGGGGGAUCGCAAGACCUCGCGCGAUUGGAGCGGCCGAUAUCAGAUUAGGUAGUUGGUGGGGUAAAGGCCUACCAAGCCUGCGAUCCGUAGCUGGUCUGAGAGGACGACCAGCCACACUGGAACUGAGACACGGUCCAGACUCCUACGGGAGGCAGCAGUGGGGAAUUUUGGACAAGUGGGCGCAAGCCUGAUCCAGCAAUGCCGCGUGCAGGACUGAAGGCCGUUCGGUUGACAAACUGUCUUUUGGUACGAACGUAAACGGUUCCUUACUAAUACAGAGAGACUAAGUAGACGUAACGUAAGAAUAA